rnacentral:lncRNA from 1 species
CGUCACCAUAGCCACCGUCAUCGGCCACAAAAAGCAAGCCGGACCCUGCGAUGGUGUUGGGAUUCUGGGUAUUGCAUGGGCUUUCGGUGGCAUGAUCUUCAUUCUUGUCUACUGCACUGCCGGUAUCUCAGGUAAAAAAUAACUCCCUAGUAAAAAGCUUCGAAAAUUAGAGAAACCCAGUUGAUUUUUUAAGGAAUUAUCCUCAUGGGUGUUAAAUCUUGUGUGUUCUUGUUCCAGGUGGUCACAUAAACCCUGCUGUUACUUUCGGACUGUUCUUGGCUCGUAAGGUGUCUCUGAUCAGGGCUGUGGCCUACAUGGUGGCUCAGUGCUUGGGCGCCAUCUGCGGUGUUGGUUUGGUUAAGGCUUUCAUGAAAAACUACUACAACCGUCUCGGUGGUGGCGCCAACACUGUGGCUACCGGCUACAACACCGGCACCGCUUUGGGUGCUGAGAUAAUUGGCACCUUCGUCCUUGUCUACACCGUCUUCUCCGCCACUGACCCUAAGAGAAGUGCGCGUGACUCCCACGUCCCUGUAUGUUCUUCCUUCCUUUUCCUCUCUUCCGUUUGUUAAAUCUGUCCGUAUGCGACGCCGUAUGGUGUCGUGUAGUGUCAAAAGACGAACCAUGUUAGCUUUUAGGGCAUGGGUGUGGUUGUCUGUUUGUCGCUUAGAGAGUGUUUGAACCUUUCAGGUUUUGGCGCCACUCCCCAUUGGGUUCGCUGUGUUCAUGGUGCACUUGGCAACCAUCCCUAUAACAGGUACUGGUAUUAACCCAGCUAGGAGCUUCGGCGCUGCAGUUAUCUGGAACAACAAGAAAGGCUGGGAUGACCAUGUAAGUGUACCAUAUAUCUAAACACGUAUGUAUAUAUGAGUUUGAUGAAAAAUUCUAGGGUAGUGAUUGAUAUAUUAACUAGUAAGAUUUGGACGAAAAUGGUGCAGUGGAUUUUCUGGGUCGGACCAUUUGUGGGAGCACUUGCAGCAGCCGCAUACCACCAGUACAUACUGAGAGCAGCAGCCAUUAAAGCUUUGGGAUCUUUCCGCAGCAACCCCACCAACUAAAGUCUCUCUUCUUCAAUCUAUUUGUUCUUUUGUGUGUAUGAGUUGAUGAUGACCCAUCUUCUUCCUUUCAUCUUUCUUUCUUUAUUUAUGAUUUAAUCUUUUGUUGAUUAGUUUGGCC